GAUGAAGAACGCAGCGAAAUGCGAUAAGUAGUGUGAAUUGCAGAAUUCAGUGAAUCAUCGAAUCUUUGAACGCACAUUGCGCCCUUUGGUAUUCCAAAGGGCAUGCCUGUUCGAGCGUCAUUUGUACCCUCAAGCUUUGCUUGGUGUUGGGCAACGCGGUCCGCCGCGUGCCUCAAAUCGACCGGCUGGGUCUUCUGUCCCCUAAGCGUUGUGGAAACUAUUCGCUAAAGGGUGUUCGGGAGGCUACGCCGUAAAACAACCCCAUUUCUAAGGUUGACCUCGGAUCAGGUAGGGAUACCCGCUGAACUUAAGCAUAUCAAUAAGCGGAGGA
rnacentral:misc_RNA from 1 species